GAUGAAGAACGUAGCGAAAUGCGAUAAGUAAUGCGAAUUGCAGAAUUCAGUGAGUCAUCGAAUCUUUGAACGCACAUUGCGCCCUGUGGUAUUCCGCAGGGCAUGCCUGUUCGAGCGUCAUUUCAACCCUCAAGCUCUGCUUGGUGUUGGGCCCUGCCCGCUCGCGGCCGGCCCUAAAGACAGUGGCGGUGCCGUCUGGCUCUAAGCGUAGUACAUCUCUCGCUCUGGUGCCCGGCGGUGUCCUGCCAGAACCCCCCAACUCUGUGGUUGACCUCGGAUCAGGUAGGGAUACCCGCUGAACUUAAGCAUAUCAAUAAGCGGAGGA
rnacentral:misc_RNA from 1 species